CCCUCCUUGGGUGCUUCCUCUUCAUGGGAUUGCCUCAGUAAAGUUCAGGAAAUAUUUACUGACCAUCUUAUGUACGCAAACCUUGGUUUGGGCACUGUGGAACUCCUGGAGACAUAUCAUACAGUACCUGCUCAUGGGAAUUUGUAAACCUCAUCGGGAAGAAGAUGCAAGAAGCUCUUAGGAUUAGAUGGUCUUGCACUGUGAUUCAUAUGCCAAGAUUAGUGUUAGCACUAAUGCUACCACCUGGUAACUAACACCUGAUCUUCACAAUUGCCAUGUAAACCAAAGAAUCCCAUUUGACAGAAGUUGAAGCAUAAGCUAUAUCAACCAAAGCAAGAUACUUUCAGCUUGGAGCCAAUUCUUUCAUCACUGGGACAAUUAUUUCCAAGAUAUCAUUCAGCUCUGAUACUUGCUUUAAUAUAGUGAGCUCAGAGCAUCUUCAUCCAGUCUCCAAACUAUAUUGUGGCCAGCUGAGAAAAGACACUGAGCUUACAGUUUGAAGAUUGAAGACACAAGAUACAUAGACAAGCUUGCAUGCUUUGGUAAAGCAAGCUGCCAUGCUGCAGAGUCCUACACAAGGAACUAAGGAUGUCCUUCAACUAAUAGCCAGCAAGGAACUGAAGCCUUCAGUUCAAUACCAUGAAAGGAAUGGAAUCCCACCACCAGCCACAUAAGGGAGCAGAUCCUUCCUCAGUUCAGCCUUCAGAAGAGAAUGUAGCCCCUGGGCUCACAUGCAAUCUUUAUAAGAGAUACUGAAGCAGUUGAUCCAGCUCAGCUGUAUCUGGAAUCCUGAACCAUAAAGACCUAGAUAAUAAAUGUCUACUG